rnacentral:lncRNA from 1 species
CUGGCUAUACUCUCUUUUAUAUGGCUGGAGACUCUAAAACCAAACUGCUCUUCCCUCCUUUUAAUUUAGUGCUUUGUGGUUGUAGGGAGGGGAGCUAAUUCCACAGUAGGAAGUAAUUACUUUGUGCUGUUCAAGGGAUACUUCUUAUCCUCCAUGAGCCUGAUGUAUUUCUCUUCACAAAUGAAAUAUAUAAUGCUACCAGAAAGUUUUUAACUUUUACCCUGGCCCUGGACUGGUAAUUUUCCUUCUAACCUCCAAAUACUUGGGUUGGGAGCCUUAUCUCAAUGUUCUCUUUAUAUUUUGUUGUUGUUAUUAGCUCAUCUUUUCCCCAUGGAGCUUUGGGCCUUGGGAACAUUCUUGGUUUUUGGUGUGUUUUUUUUUUUAAGUACUAUAUCUUUUCAUUUCAUCUCACCAAAGCUCUGUUUUAUAAAAUAGAAAUGAAAUAUCUCUGUUUUACUGUGAACUCUAACUUGGAUCUUAAAUCAUAACUGCAUAUAUCUGAAGAACUGAAGUAUGUUACUAUUAAAUAAAAUUAUGGGCAGGAAAUGCUAGUUUGAAAUGUUCUUUUUCCCCUCAGUUCCCAUUAAGUUGGGUUGGCUUGUUGUUAAAGAAAAGAGAAAAAAAUUAAAGGCAAAGCUGCCGCCUAGAACCUUGUCCCCCAAAGAACUGAUUUAACUCUAUGGACUUCACUGAUUUACCUAGGCCUAGAGAGAGCAUGACUGCCUAAGAAGGCUAAAUAAGAUCUGGUUACUUCUUGUUUGGUCUCUGAUUCUAUAUAAUGUUAUCAAUACCUUUGCUUUCAUUUCCUCCUGGAAUUGUGAACUGUGUGUGACAAUUCUUCUGUCUAUAAGAGCUCAGUAGUUUGUUACUGAAAUCACUGAAAAUAGCACAGAGGAGGGCCUUGAGCUCCUCAAAAUUUGUUAAAUAGAUGUUGAAUAAGGUAAAACGUAAAAAUGUUUUGGGCUUUUUAUAAUUUUUCUAUUAUUCUGAUUAAUUUCUUUUUGUGUUAUUUUUUUGAAAUAACACAAAAGGAUUGUCUAAUAACUACUUGGGAAAUGCGCCCUGAAUUCUUAGAUUUGGGUGUGUUUACGUUGGUUGCAAAAAAAAAAAAAAAUUCUAGUUUAGAAUUUACUCUAGACAUAUGACAUUUAAAAAUCAUUCAGGAUUUUAAUAUCUUUAAAUGAAGCAAAAAUGUAGAAGGAUUUAAACGCUUAAAAACCUCAUAAACCCAAUGAUAACUGUAUAGCCAAUUAAGUAAUAAUAUUAAUAAUAUAAUAAACCUAUUUUUCUAUACUUAUUUUCCAAAAUAGGAAAUGAGUCCAUUUCUUAGUGAGAACUACUCAGUUUUGCAAUUUUAACUUGAAUCAAUACCAUAUCAAUAUAGAGCAACCUUGCCUUGCAUUUUUUGGCUUUUGAUAAUCCAAAGAUCACUUGUCUUCAAAUUUACUACUGUCUUCUCUUUAGAGACAAGCUCAUUAAAGUAAUAUAGAGAUUUUUCCAUAAUUAUAUGAUGUAGAUGAAAGGAAUAUAUUUAUAGCAAAUAUGAUUUCCACUGUUAUUUUCCUCUAAAUCUGAAAUUUCCUUUAUAUCAAUUACAUUAUCCAGUUUUUAAGUAUCACUUGAAGAAUAAAUAUUCUUAGAAAAGAUAAUUAGCAUGGCCUAAUUAAUGAUGACUCUUGAAUAGUACUUUUGUAAUCUGCUAUUCAGAAGAAAAUAUAAUUAGUGUUCACCAUAAUUUUCACAAUGCUAUUUCCCUUAACUUUAUAUUUCAUGUGUCAUAUUUCUAAAUAAAUAAAUAAAAGGCACACUCUUGCAGGCUCCAUUUCUAAUAUAUAUGUUCAAAAUAGAGUGAAAGCUUAAUGGCUAUAAAUCAUCCCCUACUCAUAAUGUACAAGCUGUAGAGAAGACUUUUCUCAACUGUAUGUGUGUGAUAUUGAACCAUAAACCCUGUACAAUGUAAGUUAAUCUUUCUCUGUUACAGAUAUCAAAUAUGAGUCUAUUUAAAUAUAUGACCUGAAAAAGAGAGUUAUUAACGCCUCUCAGGUGAAAACCAUUUGCAACAAGGCAAAAGAGAUUGCUCUCAAAUUCCUUCUGUGACUCUAAGGACCACACUCAUUAAGCAGCCUCAAACGAGGAACUUAGUCUGGUCUUUUGAUGAUCAUAUAUUCUGGGGAGAUUUAAAGUAUCUCUAACCAUGUCUGCUGUUUAUAUAACAUUAGAUUUGCUGUUUCAUCACCCAAAGUUCCCCUGACUUUAUUCCUUCCUUUUUCCUACAUAGGCUUGAAUCCUCUGAAAGUUAGCAUCAUUUGUUAUAUUUAUUUGUAAGCACUUUUUCAUAGAGUAUCUGCUGCAUCCAUGGCUUUGCACUCUGACUGAUGAUGCACUAACCAUUAAGUUGAGCCAAAAGGAAAAAAAAAAAUUAAAAACAACUCUUCUCUAGAAUCCCUUCCAAAAAUCAUAGAAUGGAAUAAAGAAAUCAGAGUAUAAGUUAUUAAGAUGGGUUCUAUAAGACCAAAUGCAUUGGUAGAACUAUUAGACUCUAAGAUGUUUUAUAUAUAUAAUUUAUAGAAAUGUCUCCCUAAACAAGCUUUCAUAUCCAGGCUAAAUACAUUGACUACCUCUUUCUGACUUGUUCUCUUUCAUUCAUAUUCACACACAUAAAAUCUUCUCAUGUCAUUUCAAAUUACUCUUUGUGCUUUAAAGUGUCUUCUGCUGUAGCCGAAUCCAAGUUCCAGGCAUCUUUCUGUCAUCUCACUCCCUAGCAUAGUACUUUAAUUUAGGGCAUAAUAGAAGGCUAGUAUCUGUUGAAUGAAUGACUGGGUGAAUCAAGCAUUACAGUUUCAUAAGUGAGUCUUGCAUCAAAAAAAUUCCAAAUGCAUCAAAUGCAUUUAUCAUUGGCUUUAGAAGUAAUGGAUAGUCUUGGUGAAUUGUAUCACUAACUUAUGCUUUCUUAGUGAUAACAUUAAGCAUAUACAUAUAUUUUUGUUAUUGCCUUAGCUACUUUUUGCUGUUCUACUUUAUAUCCACUCAUUAUUCUUGGACAUAUUUUUUCCACUGGUUUAAAUUUAUAUUAUGUUUAAAAAGACAGAAUUGAAUUAGGCUGAAAAUCAGAUAAAAUUAGAGAAGGGUAGAAGAACCAUAGGGACACUUCUUAGUUUCUUAGAGAUAAAAGAUCUGUUUAGUUUUAUUUUUUUUCCGUACAGGUUUUCUGACUUGUCUUUUAAAAAUGAUGGCAUACUGUGUUUUCAGGCUUAAGAGAUAGUUCAAGCUUAAAGCAAAGCAAUGUGCUAAUUUAGUUUUUGGCACAGUGUAUUAAAACUGGGAAUUCUGAAAUUUUUUCAAUGACAAGAUUGUGUCUGUAUGAAGAGCUGGGGUAGGAGUAGGAGGGAACUUUGAAUAAGAUUCUGCAUUGCCCAAUCCUUGCAGCAAGUAACUGUUUGUCUAUAAUGAAAGAUACACAGUUAUGCUGUCUGGGUUCACAGAAUAAAUAGCUUUAAUUUCCAUCACCGACUGUGUUUCUAAUUGAAUAACAAAAGCUUUGUUUACUGAUUUGGGUAACAGUCACUGGAUUAACCCAGUGAAAUAAUUGGUCACGGUAGUUGGAGUCAUGUAUAUUAAGCUUUCAUAAUGUAAAAAGUGCUGUAAACUUUUAAGGCAUUAUUUAUUAGAUUAUUCAUAUAAAUGAUAAAAUUUUGUCCAACUUGAUUCAUUGAAUUGUCUCAAAUCAGUCAAAAAUGUGGAAAAGACAACCUAAUAAUGCAUAUUGAUGAUUUUUAAUAAUUUUGCCAUAAUAUAUAGUUUUAAAUCAUUUACAGAAAUGGGCUUUUGUGGUAGCAUGGGGAAAUGAAAAUGCAGAUCCAUCUAUAAAUACAUUAUAUUUACAAAUAUCUUUUUCCAUGACAAAAAUUACUACGUUUGGAUUUUUCUCCAGUAUUGCUUAUUAUUUGCUUAAUGUGGUAAAAAUGAUAAUGGAUGAUGAUCAUGAGUGUGAAUGUGUUUAUAUAUGAGUGUAUGUCUACAUGUGUGUGAGAAAGAGGGAAGGGAGAAAGGAAGAGAGAGAGGAAGGAAGGAAUAAGAAAGAUGAAAGAAAGGGAAGGAAGG